GGGCCGGUAGAUCAGUCUGGUAUGAUCGUUCGCUUGGCAUGCGAAUGACCCGAAAAGGUCCGCAAAAGGUCGCGGGUUCGAAUCCCGCCCGGUCCACCA
rnacentral:tRNA from 1 species